UAUCAAUCACACGCAUAUACCAGCGAGAUAAAAGUAUAAACGAUAAUUAGGAUAGAGUCUGUUGAUUUGCCUUGCGUGUUUUUGACUUGAGUGAUCGUUCGACAGACACAUUUGACUGUUGUACUUCUAAGGAAGAGAAGAAGGAUUAUUAGAGGGAAGAACAAGGAGGUGAAGACUAGGAUAGUAGUAGUGUUGGAUUGUAGGCGAUAAAGGAGCCGUUGGAAGACAACGACUCGUCAGCAGGGGUAGAAAGAAAGAAAGGAAAAAGGAAAGAAAUAGAGAGAGAGAGAGAGAGAGAGAGAGAGAAAUAGAGCUAGAUAAAGAGAGGGAUGAAGGGGAGGUGGUAGUGGUACUGGUAGUGGUGGUGGUGGUGCUGCUGCUGCUGUUGCUGGUUGAAGAGGAGUAAAAGAGGAGAGGGAAGUGUUGGGGUAAUAAAGAAAGAGAGAUAUAGCUGAGUGACAGAAAAAUAAGUGAAAGGGAAGGAAGAUUCGUGUUAUGGAAGAGAAACGAGAAACAGGAUCACCACCCGAGUGGAUAACGGACGAAUGGGUGUCGUCCUCCUGCUUAAAAAGGAAGGAUCGUGUCGGGGACACUUGUGAAUUUAGUGUAUUAUCAUAGUACGAAGGACUUUCAUUUGUCCUUCUAUUACAAAACUCGCCUCUGGAGCUUGCGAUAUUGCGAGACACGAGAGCGUGAAAUUAGAGGGAGAAAAAAAAAUGGUUGGAUUUUGUUGGAGGGAUGAUCAUAGGAGAGGACCGACAACAACAACGGGGCAAACAAAACUAGCGUAGCGUUCGAUAGAUUGCGAUUUUUCGAAGAGGAAGAAGAAGAAGAAGACGACGACAAAGAGGGAGGAGGAGGAGGAGGAAGAAGCAAAAGAAGAGGAGGAGGUGGUGGUGUGUUGGAGAAGAGAGGAGAGGAGAGGAAGAAGAAAAACGGGGAGAUUCGUGGUA